rnacentral:rRNA from 1 species
GAUGAACGCUAGCGAUAGGCUUAACGCAUGCAAGUCGAGGGGUAACGUGUUGGAAGCUUGCUUCCGAUGACGACGACCGGCGGAUGGGUGCGUAACGCGUAUGCAACUUGCCUCACAGUGGAGAAUAACCCGGAGAAAUCCGGACUAAUACUCCAUACACUCUUAAGUACGCCUGUACAUGAGAGGAAAGAUUUAUCGCUGUGAGAUAGGCAUGCGUCCUAUUAGGUAGUUGGUGAGGUAACGGCUCACCAAGCCGACGAUAGGUAGGGGUGCUGAGAGGCAGAUCCCCCACAUUGGGACUGAGACACGGCCCAAACGCCUACGGGAGGCAGCAGUGAGGAAGAUUGGUCAAUGGAGGAAACUCUGAACCAGCCAAGUCGCGUGAAGGAAGAAUGGCCUAAGGAUUGUAAACUUCUUUAGCGAGCGAGUAAGGACUUCCACGUGAUGGGAGUUUGAAAGUAGCUCGAGAAUAAGUAUCGGCUAACUCCGUG